UACAUGGGGUGCAAACGUUGCUCGGAAUUAUUGGGCGUAAAGCGCGCGUAGGCGGUUACUCAAGUCGGAUGUGAAAGCCCUCGGCUUAACUGAGGAAGUGCACCCGAAACUGAGUAGCUAGAGUACCAAAGAGGGUCGCGGAAUUCCCGGUGUAGAGGUGAAAUUCGUAGAUAUCGGGAGGAACACCAGUGGCGAAGGCGGCGAUCUGGGUCGAUACUGACGCUGAGGUGCGAAAGCGUGGGGAGCAAACAGG
rnacentral:rRNA from 1 species